CUUCGCGCCGUUGCACAAAGUUUACUAAAGUUUUCUGUAGAGAUGCCACGGUUCUACAAUAAAUUGUUCUCUAUUUUUAUUUUUACAGCCUUCUGGUUCUCUUUGCUUUUAAUCCGUUAUAUAAACUAUGAUCUUCUAAAGUCUCAGCAUAAGCAUUUGAGAUUUGUGGUCCUUUCCGAUUUAGGAAUAACAGGAACAAAUUUUAUUUUGUUACUUAAUAAAAAUAACAUCAGUUUUAUUUUGUUGGUACCACUUUUCGCGCUUGAGAAGGGAGGAGGGAUGGCACGAGUUUUAAUCUUAAAUUAUUUAAGAACUCUAGGUGUGGACUGUAAAAUAAUUGAUUCCUGCACAAGAAGCACCCUGUACGCUAGUGGAGCUUUCCUAAGUGCAAGUCAUGCUCUUUUGCUUAUUGAUGAAGAAAUCAGGAAUUUAUCUGAAUUCGUAAAAAAUCAUACUAGCUGUUUAUUUUCGUUUCUAG